AAAUAAUUUAUAAAUACAUUAAGACAGUAAAUUGUUGUUAAAAAAUUGUGUAAUUAACAGGAAAUAAAAGGUUUGAGUUCUUCUUCUAAAAGCUGUUGAGGUCUAAGGUUCUAAAAACAUUCUGGACCCACACCAUUCCAACUUAUAAUAGAAACUUUAUAUAAUUUAUUACCACCCUUGGAAAAAUGUCAGCUACCUAUUUUAUAAACACUACCCAAU